rnacentral:rRNA from 1 species
GAGAGAGACAUGCGCGCAUAUCAAUAAGCGGAGGAAAAGAAACUAACAAGGAUUCCCUUAGUAACGGCGAGUGAAGCGGGAAGAGCUCAAAUUUGAAAUCUUCAAGGUUUUACCUUGACGAAUUGUAGUUUAAAGAAGUGUUUUCUGCUGAAGUUUUGGUAAAAGUUCUUUGGAAUAGGACAUCAUAGAGGGUGAGAAUCCCGUAUUUGACCAUUAUUUUCAGCUUUGUGAUACACUUUCAAAGAGUCGGAUUGCUUGGGAAUGCAGUCCAAAAUGGGUGGUAAAUUUCAUCUAAAGCUAAAUAUUGGCGAGAGACCGAUAGCGAACAAGUACCGUGAGGGAAAGAUGAAAAGAACUUUGAAAAGAGAGUUAAACAGUACGUGAAAUUGUCAAAAGGGAAGCGUUUGACACCAGUGUUGUUUUCUCGAAAAUCAAUUAAAAAUGGCUCGAUUUUGUAUUGCUUGAGACCUUAAAAGCUCACUGUACAUUUUUCGUGUCUUUUUUAAUGCACUUUUCGUUUAACAAGUCAACAUCAAUUUCUUUUGUUGUAAAAGGGUCAUUGGAAGGUGGCUUUCUUUUCGGAGAAAGUGUUUAUAGCCUUUGGCCUCUGCAAUCGAAGAGACUGAGGUCUGCAGCGUAGACUCUUCGGGGUUAGAUACAUUUGUGCUAAGUUAUAGCUUUUUAUAGACAACUUGUUGACUAUAAUUAGUCUUGUAGCUUACUCGCUUAUGCUAUUUUACCUACGCUUAGGAUGUUGAAGUCAUCGUAUCGCGC